UAGUCUACCCAAUUCCCCUGGCUGUAAGCUGGCUGCUACAUAUGAUUCUUUGUGACUGCAAAUACUGUGUAUAAGAAAGGAUCUAUUUCAGCAAAUCCUGAGAGGAUUAUUUGUGUAUCCAAAACAUUAGUCAAGCUAACACAUAGGAUCAAAGCCAGAAUACAAGCAGUGACCACCAUGCCUGAGAGACCUGUUGCUGCACACAUCUGUACUCUUCAAUCAACAAACCUGAUAUAAAAAACAGAAAAGGGGAAGGUAUAGGAGUUCAGUCAGGUGGUGGGAAAAAUUAUAAGAGGAAAUUAUAGAAAGAAGCAAACCUCCUUGGAAGUCCAGGAGGUUUUACAAAAGCUUUGGAAAAGGAUUUGGCUGAAGGCAGCCAGAUUCUCUUACCUGGUGCCUGAAAGCUUAGGUUAGAUAACAAGGGGGUAUAAAGAAACUGAUCUAGACACAUUAGUUUACUUAGGCCUUGGAACCUGGCCUGUAAUCAUCCACAUGCAGGACUGCUCAAUGGGGGCUGGGGGUGGUGGGGGGGCACAGGGGGAGGGGGACGGUGGCAACCAUGUUGAUUACCUGCAAGUGUGUUGACUCAAAGCCUUUGUCAUUAAAUCUGUACUAAAUAAAUGCCCGCAGUGCCAGCUUGUCAGGGCUGCAGCUGCUUCAACUCUUUCUGUGAGCGGCUCAGUCCCCUAGCCCAC
rnacentral:lncRNA from 10 species